AUCCAGUUGACGAAUCUGAAAUAGGACGAAACGCGUAUCUUGGAU
rnacentral:hammerhead_ribozyme from 1 species